rnacentral:rRNA from 1 species
GGGCCCGCACAAGCGGUGGAGCAUGUGGUUUAAUUCGAAGCAACGCGAAGAACCUUACCAAGGCUUGACAUGGGAACGACCGGAUAAGAGAUUAUCCUUUCCUUCGGGACGUUCUACACAGGUGGUGCAUGGUUGUCGUCAGCUCGUGUCGUGAGAUGUUGGGUUAAGUCCCGCAACGAGCGCAACCCUUAUUUUUAGUAGCCAGCGCGUAGAGGCGGGCACACUAGAGAGACUGCCGCGGAUAACGCGGAGGAAGGCGGGGACGACGUCAAAUCAUCAUGCCCCUUAUGUCUUGGGCAACACACGUGCUACAAUGGCUCGAACAAAGUGAAGCAAAGCAGCGAUGUGGAGCAAAACACAAAAACGAGUCCCAGUUCGGAUCGUAGUCUGCAACCCGACUACGUGAAGUUGGAAUCGCUAGUAAUCGCGAAUCAGCAUGUCG